UCGAGAAUUUCUCGCAAUGGGGGAAACCCUGACGGAGCGACGCCGCGUGGAGGAUGAAGGUCUUCGGAUUGUAAACUCCUGUCAUUGGUGAACAAAGUAUUUCAGGGUAACUCCUGGGGUGCCUGCUAGUAGCCGAAGAGGAAGGGACGGCUAACUCUGUGCCAGCAGCCGCGGUAAUACAGAGGUCCCGAGCGUUGUUCGGAUUCAUUGGGCGUAAAGGGUGCGUAGGCGGUCUUCUAAGUUUGAUGUGAAAUCCCGGGGCUCAACCCUGGAAUUGCAUUGAAUACUGGAGGACUAGAGUACUGGAGAGGAAACUGGAAUUUACGGUGUAGCAGUGAAAUGCGUAGAGAUCGUAAGGAAGACCAGUGGCGAAGGCGAGUUUCUGGACAGUUACUGACGCUGAGGCACGAAGGCCAGGGGAGCAAACGG
rnacentral:rRNA from 1 species